rnacentral:rRNA from 1 species
CAAUAGCGUAUACUAAAGUUGUUGCGAUUAAAAAGCUCGUAGUUGGAUCUCAGGCAUGGGCGCACGGUCCGCCUCGCGGCGGUCACUGUGUGUUUUGUUUCCCAUCCUACGCUUCCCGGCUAUCAGCCCAUGGUGCUCUUCACUGAGCGUUUUGGGUGGCCGGAACGUUUACUUUGAAGAAAUUAGAGUGUUCAAAGCAGGCACGUCGCCUGAAUAAUGGUGCAUGGAAUAAUGGAAUAGGACCUCGGUUCUAUUUUGCUGGUUUUCGGAACACGAGGUAAUGAUUAAGAGGGACAGACGGGGGCAUCCGUAUUGCGGUGUUAGAGGUGAAAUUCUUGGAUCAUCGCAAGACGAGCAACUGCGAAAGCAUUUGCCAAGCAUGUUUUCAUUAG